UUACCUAAUGUAUAAACGUCUCUAAAUCCACAAUUUAACAUUUUCUAAUAAACUAAUUAAGCA
rnacentral:tRNA from 1 species